UCUUGACUCCCGAGCGGUCCUGCCUGGUGAGCGCGCACGCACCAGGCCUGGAAAGGCGGCCUCCGGGAGACAGAAAAGAGGGCAGAAGGGGAGGGAAGAGAAAAGAGAGGAAACAUCAGGGAAGGAGGAGGAACCAUCUUCCUCUCACCCCCUGCCACUCCUAGUCUGUUUUGUAAGCUGAUGUAUCUCAAGGGCCCGGGACAGCACCUGGCACAUCAUAGGCGCUCAGUAGGUUCCCAAAAUGAGACUCCCCAAGAAGAAGGAAAACAUAAACUCACGUCCAUCCUCUUCCAGGUGUAGAAGUUGACCUUGGUGUCUGGGACAGUGAUAUUCUCACUGAAGCUGCAGCCUUCAGCACAGCCCAUCUGAAAUGCACGACCCCCGAGUCAGGCUCCCCGAGGGCUCCCCUCCACCAUUGCCCCUUACCUAGCUCCCAGCUUGUCGCUCCCACCCCGAACCUUCCCAGCGCUCGGGUUCUGCCUCCUUGGCCUUCAUUCAAUCCCCGCCGCCCGCCGCCGCGGUGAGCACACCCCACCCCCCAAACUACCGGCAUCCCCUUCUCCCGGGCAAACUUCAAUCCCGGUGUGACAGAGGCUUCCCCUCUCGCAGAUCUCGGGGAUUGCUCCAAGACCCAGGUAUCAGCUUCCUCCCCACGCACGGAGCCGCCCCUCUUCCCCCCCAACCCGCAAACCGCGUCCCCGUGCCCGGGUCAGAUUUCACCUUUUCCCGGCGGCUCCGGGAGCCCUGCCGGCACGUGGAGGCUGCCCCACCCCCCUUGCCCUUCCGGGGUCCUUGGCAAGUUGUCGGUCCUUGAACCCGGCCACCUCGGGGCCACUAGCCCCAGCGGUAAAUUCCUGCUCAAACAGGGGCCCAGGCGGGCGGGGGCUCCUCCAGCCGGCGGGUACUCACCGCACGACCCCAUCUCCGUGCCUCCCCCGGCCCCUCAGCGACCAGGGGCUCGGCCGGCGCCCUUGCCGGGAGCCCUCAUCCCGGGAAGCGCGGCGGGGCAGGGCCGGCCUCACGCCCUGAAGGAAGGGGCCACCGUCCGGGGGCCGCCGAGCCGGGGUCGCGCACAGCGAGCGCAGGACUGCUGGCCACGGUCCGCGAGGACUGGCGCGCGGCGACCGGUCGGGGUUGGCCCGGGGACUGCGGCUCGGCCGGGGGUCGGGGCUGUUAUCAGCAUGUGUGCGUG